UAGGUAGAAGCCAAUUUUUGGGCGCCUAGCUGUUAAUUAGGAAGUUGUAACGAUAAAAGGUUACCUAUCUAG
rnacentral:tRNA from 1 species